AACGAACGCUGGCGGCGUGGAUAAGACAUGCAAGUCGAACGGGACAUUUUUAGUAGUAAUAUUAGAGAUGUUCAGUGGCGAACGGGUGCGUAACACGUGGAUACAUUCCGGAAAGCGGGGGAUAGCCCAGGGAAACUUGGAUUAAUACCGCAUGUGGUCGCAAGACUAAAGACGGGGAUCGAAAGACCUGUCAAUUUCCGAUUGGUCCGCGGCCUAUCAGCUAGUUGGCGGGGUAAAAGCCCACCAAGGCGACGACGGGUAGCUGGUCUUAGAGGACGACCAGCCACACUGGAACUGAGACACGGUCCAGACACCUACGGGUGGCAGCAGUCGAGAAUCUUUCACAAUGGGGGCAACCCUGAUGGAGCGACGCCGCGUGGAGGAUAAGGUCUUCGGAUUGUAAACUCCUGUCAUGCGAGAACAAGGUUGCAGGGCUAAUACCCGUGCAAAUUGAUGGUACCGCAAGAGGAAGAGACGGCUAACUCUGUGCCAGCCGCCGCCGUAAAAC
rnacentral:rRNA from 1 species